CUUAAUUAGUAGUCUUAAAUCUUUAAGAUAUACCGUCUAUGUUUGUACUGUCACUAGGUUGCGUCCUGACAACCUUGAUGUUUUUGUGUAAAGCUUAAACUGCAAUAAAUUAACUAUUACUGGUUUUAUAUGACACCUUCUAACUUUGAUCUUUAUAGUCUGGUCAUUUCCAAAUGUCUCGCUUUCCUGUCAUAGGAAUCAUAUCCACACAUGUCGGGUCUUCUAAUUCUAAACCACUUCAUUUUUUAGCUUAACAAAAUUUCUCUCCUUGUAGGUUUCAUCUCUUGCUUGGUCAGAACCGAUGGAAGUUUUUUGUGCUUUCAUUACUCAGCUGUUGGUUGGGCAAGGGUGCCUCUUAUUAGACCAACAAACUUACCUUGUGAAUUUUUUACGACAUUAGCCCAAUUAAUCCUGUAUGAUAUAUGGCAUACCCUGAUGCACAUACGAUUUAGCUUUCUUAGCUUGAGUUUGUCUUUUCAAAUCCACUUCAGCAAGAUUUUUUUUAUGGUAAUCUGCAAUAUUGUAUAUCUCAUAACUUAUCCACUAAAUUAACAAUUCAGUAAUACCCUGAUGCAUAUACGAUUUAGCUUUCUUAGCUUGAGUUUGUCUUUUCAAAUCCACUCCAGCAAGAUUUCUUCCGCUAAUCUGCAGUAUUGUAUAUAUCACAACUUCCCCGCUAAAUUAACAAUUCAGUAAUCUCAAAUAGUAUUAGUGUCACCUCUCUGAACAUAGUUAGCUGGAUUCAUCUUGCAGAUGGACUUCCCAUCUUAGAUGAUUUAUCAAAUUUACUGACUCUAAUAUGCAAUAUUUUACCAUCAUAUAGUAGGAGUAUCUUUUCUGCAACUGGAAAAAGGUUCCUGUAAUUUAUGUAGAUGUUCUGCAACAUAUAGCACGAGGUACUUGUGGAAUUUGAUUUCUUUAGAUCAUUUUACUAUUUUUUACCUAGACCUGGGCAGGGUCAUUGUUCGUAGUUGUACUUGAAAGGUAGGAGUUCAAUGUCGUGUGUGAAUUUGAACUGUCAUUUAUUAGAAAACCUUGGUAAUCUUGAUGGAGAAACCAUUCCCACCCAAGUUAUUACUAUUUUGUUUUCUGCAAAUUAAAAUUUAGGGCUCGAAAUAGUCUUGAUGAGGCCAAGAUUUUGGUCUCUGUAGACAGCCUUUUGAAUAAAGUUAUUUUUUCGAGCGUUAGAAACUAUUGCCACCCAAAUUAUUUCAAAAGCCUUAUCGCCUGCAGUUGGAAUGUUCAAAACAUGGGGGCUGACAUUUUCCCAUAUGAGGCAACAAUGCAGAAGUUACAUGAUCUUGCUCAGUCCAUCUUUUGAACAAACCCAGUGCAGGCAUCAGGCUCUUAGAGGAUUAUAUGGUUCUGUGGUUCAUGUCUACACACAUCUGGUCUGGCCCUGAAAAAUUCUUAUAAUCUCUCUAUGGUUUGUGGUUCAAAUAGACCACAUGCAGCGGUUUCUUCCGUUCUGUGAUCUUUUCAGCUGAAGAGAUCUUACUAGAACAAUCUCUUUAUGCGUUGGACAUUGUCUACUGACCGUAUGAGAAGGUCAUGAGGAUUCCUAUUGGAGCAUGGCCUACGCUGGUUGACGAAUGGGCAUGAUAAGAAGCUGCUUUAAGUAAGCGGAGACUUGUGUUGCCCCAGACCAAGCUCAAGGACAGGGUUAGAGUUGAAAUGAGGUUUCCUUCACAGGGUAAUUUAUCAUGUUGGCCACUGCCUCCUGAGUUUUUACAUAAUGGGACCAUCUGGUAGUAAUUUAUGUUGUAACUAUGAGUUUUUAUGCAAUAAAUUCAAGUUUGAAUUGAAUACUUAUGCCAGUGGCGCAGCAGGUCAUCUGUUGUUUCAUAAGAGUUUCGACCUGAUCUGAUCACCUGACUGUUUUAUCCAAUGUUGUUGCUUGCGACAAUAUUCGCUAAAUUUACAUAGAAUGUACAUAUAAGUCUCACCAUUUAGGUUCUGUAAUAUGCUUAUGAUGGUUACAAUAUUAUUUUGCUUUUGCCUUUGCGCCGGAUUUAAUGGAUUGGAAAAAUUGUAUGUUGAAAGAGUAAAAAUAAAGUGAUGUGUGGUGGGAGUACAAGGGAGAAGCUCAAUUGAACUAAGAGAGCUGCAUGUAUGCUAUGAUUGUUUUGUUCUUAUGCACCACUUUCCACUUGAACUUUUGUUUCAGUGCUUAGACAUUGUUUCAUACUGUUUCGUGUUACCACAUUACUCAUCCUCUCUCACUCCCAUGCCCACCAAGAUCCAGCAUGCACAUAGGAGGAGGGACGACCAGGAGGUGGCGGCUUGCAGACAUGGAGGAGAACGAAUUGUAGAAAAGAACUUAAUACGCAUCAACCAUGGAGCUUUUGUGUCGUUGCUUUCUGUGCGUGAAUUUUGGUGUAUUUUACAAUUCUUCUUGUGAUCUGCCAAGAGGGAGAAAAUUACAGUGUUA